CACCUCUUCCAUGAGCACCUCCUCUGCCACGUCCUCUACCAGUAGCUUCUCUGCCUUCAUUCUUCUGAUCUGAUGUCUCCCCCUUCGUGUAAAAAGCCUUUUCUUCAUUCUUCUCCUCUGUUCUGGACAGCCUCACUUCAUGAGAUUGCAAGGAUCCCAUGAGCUCAUCAAAUGAAUAGGUUGACAAAUCCUUAGACUCCUCAAUGGCUGCAACUACAUGAUCAAACUUAGGCGUUAAACUCCUUAACACCUUUGCUACGACAGUUUGAUCAAGAAUAUCUUCACCAUACGACCUCAUUUGAUUAACUAU
rnacentral:lncRNA from 1 species